UUUAAAAUGAAAUACGAUAAAUAAAGAUAAAAAUUUUAAGUCUUUUAUAAAAUAAAGUACAAAUAUAUGAAAAUGUGAUAUUUACAAAAUAUUUGUCAAUUGAAAAAAAAACAAAAAUAAACCCGCGCUUUGAAAACGCGGAUCAAAAUCUAGUUUUCAUAUUAAAAGGCGAGAAACAAAAUGGUGAAAGCUAGAUGCUUAAGUUAAUUAAAUGGUAAAGGCCCAGUAAUUAAGCAGCCCAAAUACAGAAAACUUUGCAUGCGAGUCGGAGGAACCGGAUUCAGGACCGGACCUGACCGGAGUUACCAAGAGACAAUUAGUUCAGAGGAGCAGACGAUCAAAGAAAGAUGAGGACUGUGAGGAAUAGAUGAUCAAUGAAAGAUAAGUGAAUGUUCUAUCUUUUAUAUCAAGAUUCACUUUUUCGUUUAACCUUUGUUUGUUUCUUCUUUAAGUCGGCAAGAUUCUUAUAUAUCUGAAAGUAUCAGACUAAUCCACGGGUUGAGAAUUGAGAAGUACAUUGACUAUUUUCCCUAAAGAAUACCAAAAAAUAUUUUUAUUUAAAAUUAAAAAAAACUUUUAAAAUUGAACAAUAGGUGAGGAUACGACAUCGUUUAACAAUGGUACAUGUUUUCCUGAGUUUAAUAACCUAAAUCUUUUUCCAUCUUCGUGAGUACGGCGAGUUUAGAAUCGUCUUUCUCCUUUUUGUGUUAUCUUUUUUCUCUAGAAUAGCUCGUUUCUUCGUCUCCAAUCAAGCUUGAUUUAUCGCUAGCCUCCAGUCUUUUUUCACGCUAUCAAUCGCUGGCGGUUUCAGCAUCUUCAUGUUAUUCACCAGCACAACCGUUGAUUUCACCUUCUUGAGCCACCGGCGAACUUCUUUACCGUCUGAACCACAACACAGCUUAUAUCGCCGCGUUAACCACCUUCAGAUUGGUAAGGUAUUGGCUCUUUGACUUUGUUUUGUUUUUGGAUUUCGAUAAUUUUGGUAGCUCCAUUAAUACAUUCUUCUCUCUAUCCUCUUCACAAUCAUCAAUGAAUUUCUUCAUAUCCUUUAUCGCCUUGAUCCUCCUCUCUCAUCCGUCACUAACGCUUUCUUCCUCCUGCUGUAGCGUACUUGUUUCCAACGAUUGUCUUUCUUUGGGAAGUCUUGGGCUUCCUCUCAUAUGCGAGAGCUCUGUUUACCAUUGUGCUCUGGAAAGUUUGGGAAUAAAAUGGGGAAGAAAUCUAAUCGGUUGGACACAACAACAACUUACACCGGAGACUGGCCGGAAAUAGUCGUCCUCCGUAAUUUAACUCGGGCUCUAUUGUCAGUUCAAAAACACAGAGUUCAAGAAUGGCUGCAGCCUUAGGCAUGUUUAGUCACGGUCCAGAAAAUGAUGAUAAAAGAUGGUGGGCUUAGAUCAUGUAAGUUGCAGCCCAAGUGACUAAACUAUCUAAGACCGCAUCAAAUUCAUUAAAUCGUUAAUGAAACGCAGAGUUUCGAGAUGGUAGGACAGGUGUCGCACUCACAAUCAAUGACUUUUUGACCUGGCGCUGACGUGGAUGCACAGGAGUGAAGCAAACAUUUUUUUAUAUAUAUAGAUUUUGUAAAGUCAACAGUAAAGUAUUAGAGGUAUAAAUAUACUUGUGGGUUUUAUUAAAUCAUAUUAUAAAUAUUUUGUUUCAAAGAGGCUACUUUUUUAGAUUUGUAAAAACAAAAAUGGUAUAUAGAGAAACUAAAAUAAUUAUGAAACCAAGUUAAAAAAACAUUCAAUCAUGAGAAGAAAUUUAAUGUAAAACAAAAAUGUUAUUAGCAACUUAAUUUAUGUUAAUAAAUUGGGCCAUAACAUUAUGAAAGAAAAGUGUAAUGGACUUUAGUCAAUAAUCGAAACCCAUAUUUUUUUGUCUAAAAAAAUAACAGAAACUCUUUUCACUCUACCGAUUUUUCUUUUUCCAUCAGGUAAAAAGGCAGCGAUGGAUGCCUUGCGCUUCAGCUCUGGACAAUUUAGAGCUUGAUCAUGUUAAUUUCUUCAGUAUAACCACUGCAGAAGAUAGAUCUAUAAUUAGUUUCAGCCUUUGGUAUAAAGGUUAGAGUUUCUUGAUUUAGGUUUAAUUGAGUGUUCACGAUUUGCUUCUUCUAAUCUACAUUUUUUGUUUUGAUAUUUCAAUGACCAUCAAAGGUAUGGAAUACCAAGACCCUUCAAUCCGAUAGACAGAGCCCGACUUCAGCUUUAAAAACAGGGAUAAACCCGUUGCAGUCCUUUGAUCAGUAAAAGUGUGGUAAAAACUAUCUUUUGGUUUAUUUAGCAAAAUGAUUUCCAUUCACUUUUCUUUAGCUCAUGAACGGGAUGGAGUGAUUAACAAAUUGGAUUGAUUGUAGAAGGUCUUAAUAAAUGAGAAGCUAAUAGACAAUUUUUCAUAAGAGAAGCCGGAUUGACUUGAUUGUCUCAGUUUGGUUUAUAAAUAUUAUUGUUCAAAGCAUAUAUGAUAUUGAAGAUUUCAGCUCUGUUUAUAUGUUAUUGCGUAGAAGUAGGAAUGACUUUUUGAAUGAUGUUGAGUUUUGGAAGGAAAAAGUAUGAUUUUUUUUUAUUUUGUAUUCAUAUUAAAUAUAAUAAGAUCCAAAAUCGGCUAAACCAUAAAAUCCCUAAUCCAUAAAAUCGGCUACCCAAUGUUGCUCCUCAAAAAUGAUAAACAAUUAACCGAAUGUUAAAUAUCUCGUAUCCGUUAGUAAAACUACAUUAUCUCAUCUAAAUUACAAAUUUCAUGUUUUUGUGAAAUUAAGAAGCAAUCGUUUCUUUGGUUUGGUUUUUAAUUAAACCAUUGUCAUAUGUUUUAUUGGUUUGGAUUUGAAUAAUAUAAAGAUUGUUUAUUAUAUGGGCCACAGAGUUAUUAAAAGCCCAAACCAAUAUCUAAACUAUUAUUUCUAACAAAACAAAAGGAAAUAUAGGUUUCGGGAUUGUCAAUUGAAUGAAAAGGUUAUUAUUGAAUGUAAUACAAACGACUGUGUUUUAAUCAGAGUGGCAUAAAAGAGUAAUUUGUGAGGAAAACUCAGGGCUAAGUACAAAAUGUACUUUUCUUUUAAUAGUUUAGAUUAUUAAGAUUGAAGUAUCUUUUGAUACUGUUUGGAAACAUGUAUAGCAGUAUAAAUGAGAAUUGUUUGGAAACAUAAAUAUCAACAUAAAAUAAGUAUAGUGUCUUUUUCGUAAUUUUAUUAAUAUAACUGCAUUAAUUGUCUUUACAUAUUUCAAUCAUUUUAUCAAUGUCAUUAAUUAUAUUAUCUUUACAAUACAUCACAUCAUUAAUUUUAUUACCAUAAUAAUAAUUUUUCAGAUUUUUAUUUAUUAGUUCAUAAACAUUAACUUUGUACCAAUUAUAAAAUCAAAAAUUUAAAAUAACAUGGUUUUACAUAUGGUUAACCGUUCGGUUUAGGUUGCUUUACUAAAACGUUUUGUUAAAUUUUAGUUUCAAUCGGUGGAAAAUUACGUAGCCAAAAAAAUAAUUCAAAUAUAUGUUUUUGUGAAUAAAAUAAUAACUUAAAUCAAAAUAAUAUAAAUGCAUUACAUCUAUUGUCACUUAAUUUUUCACUCCAUAUAAUUAUUUUAGUAAAUAAAAACUCUUUCUAUUUCACUUGAUUUAGCCAAACACACAGAAAUAAUCUUUUAAUUAGUUUAUAAGAUCAGUUAUGCAUGAACCUUGGCUAUCCAUUUAGGUACGUGUUGUUCUUUUCGGGUAUCAUUAUUUUUUUUUCAAAUUAAGCACCGCUUGAAUAUUAUAAAUUUAUAUGUGGGUUUUGAGUUGGGUCAUUCUAGGUCUGGAUGAGUUUGGUUCUAAUGUGUAGAAACCUAAAACUAUCUAAAUAACAAAUGUAUCUGAAAUGGAUUCGGAUAUUUUUACCAAAGAUAACCAUAUUAUUAUUAUUAACUAUAUAACCUAGCCUAAAAUUAAGGAACUAAAAAACUAAUCUAUUAUUUUCUUAAAUAAUGAAUUAAAUUUAUAUUAACACUGAAUAACUAAUCUAUUAAAGUUUAUUAUAUAUAAAAUUAAAUUUAUAUAUAAUCUAUUAAAUUUUUAUUAACAAAUAGUUUUGUAUAUUUUAUUAUAUAUAAAAAUUUAAUACUUGAUAAGAUGGAACAUUUUAUUAUUGAUAUAUUUUAAAAUAUAGUUUUACGGGUUAUUACAACAAACAUGUAAAAUAUUUAUCAAACAUAAAACUAACUGAACAAAACAUAAAACCACUUUAAAUUAGGCUUGAGCGUUCAGGUAACCGUUGGGAUACGGGUUGGGUAUUUUAAAUUUUGGUUCUAAUUCUAAUCACAUCCUAGAUCACAUUCAGGUAAACUUUUUAAGUAUGUAUCGGGUUAGGAUAUCACAUCGGUUUUGGUUGUAAUUUUUAUCAAUUCCUAAAACCAUACAGUAACCAUAUAUCGUCUGGAUUUGGGUUAUAUUGGUUUGGUUGGGAUAUAUUCGAAGUUAAAUCCAAAAUUUGAAAGCAAAACAUAAGAAAAUAAAUACAUGUUUAUAUAGAAUUGGGUAUUCAGGGUACUCAUUUAAAAUUUAAAUACUUAUUUUUAGUUAUCAUUUUAAAACAAAUUUUUAAUUGAAUAUUUGAAGUACAUAUUUAUUUUUCAACUAUUUAUAUUUGUAAUUAAUUUGGACAUUCAAAUCUGUUAUCGGUUCUUUUCGGGUUAUUCGUUGGAUUUCGGCUAAUGACACUUUGGGUUCUAAUAUGUUUUGUACCACCCUUCAAGAUCCAUUCAGCUAUUUCUUACAUUUCAGACCGGGUACGGAUCGGUUUUUGGUUUGGGUUUGAUUCGAGGUGGCUCCUAAAAAGUAGGGACGAGUGGUGAGAACAAGCUCCGUUAACCAAGUCGCAAGGGAAACUUCGUCCUACUCUUCGAGAUGGAACCCAUGGAUGAAGUACGAGACUCUUCAGGAAGGAACGUCCCCAACAACUACUUCGACGGCGUCCUCCCUUAGCUUUUAAUUUUUUAUUUUCUUUUUAUUAUAAAUUUAAAUAUAACUUUAUGACAUUUAUAUAAUUUUUACAAAAAAUAUUUUAAUUUUCAACAUUUCAUUUUAUAAUUUGAAUUUUUAAAUUUUGAAUCUUUUGUAAUAUUAUAAUAAUACGGCAAUGAGAUGUAAGUUCCUUGUAAUGUUUACAAGGAGUUUAAAGGGAAGUACUUGUCAAAUCCUCGUAAGCUUUACAAGGAAUUUGCUAGGAAAUACUUGUAAAUUACUCGUAAAGAUUAUAAAGACUUUACAUGGAAAGACUUGUAAUUUCGUCGUAAAAUGUACAAGCACCUAAAGAUGACUUUACAAGGAAACUAUAUGAAUCCUUAACGACGAAGCGUACCUACAAAAUUAUGACAAAAUCUUCUCAUUCACUUUUAUGACAAAUUCAUUUCAUCUUAAAUGUUACGAGGAAGUUACAACGAAUCUUCCAUUAUGGCGGGUGUUUUACAACGAAACACUAUUCCUUGUUAAUUCAAUGUAAUUCUCCUAUUACGACAAAUUAACAAGGUAGUGUAAAUCCAACAUUAUAUUUUUUACUUUUUAUCAACAUAACAUAUCAAUUUUCUUAUUUAAAAUAUUUACAAAUUGAAGGAGAUGAACCUAACUAAAUGAACAUAAAAAUAGUAAUAUAAUUCUAAACGAACUAAAAGAAAACAGAUAAAACAGUUGUUAAAUUUGAAAUUAAUGGAUGCAAGUCAACAUACCUAAAAGUUAAUACUUGAACUGAUUCGAAAUUUUAUAAUUGAAAUCACAUAUCUUAUUAAGAUUAAGAUAUAGUGACACUCAAUACAUUUAUAUAUAAAAAUUUCAAAACAGUUUAAAAAAUAUUACUUCUCACAAAAGUCACUAAAUGGAUACCCUUAACAAACUAGAAGUUAUACAUAAUUGUCAUUUAAAAAUUUAUUUAUAUAACAUAAAUUUUAAAAGUAUUUGAAAAAUAAAAUAUUUUAGAUAUCCAUUUUUCAAAAAAUAAUAUUUUAUUAUUAUUAUAAUUUUGAUCAAUUGAUAGAAAGAACAUAAUACUUGAAGAAAAAAAUGAUCAUCUAAUAUCAUAUUUCUCAAAUCAUAUGCCUAAUUACAGAAAAUAUAAACUUAUUAAAUUAUAUUCUACUCAAAUUCCAUACAUAUAAAUUAUAAAAUGUCUUCAAAUUUCUAAAUAAAUAAAAAAUUAUUAACCGAUUAUAAGAAUUUAGUUAUUAUAUAAAUAUUCAUAUAUGUACGUGAAAUUCUCAAAAUAUUAAAAAAUAUGUUUAUUAAUGCAAAUCCAACUUUAUAUUUAUAUUUUCUAUUUUUAAUCAGAAUAACAUAUAUCAAACUGUAUAUUUAAAACAUAUAUUUACAAAAAAUAAGAGGACGAACCCAACUAUAUGAAAUUAAAAAUAGUAAUCUAAUAUUAACCUAAUUAAAAUAAAACAGGAAAAACCACUUUCCAAUUUGAAAUACUAGAUGCAACUCAACUAGAAAAAAAUAUAUUUAAACUUAUUCGAAGUAUUAUAUUUGAACGUAUAUAUUUAGUUAAGAUGAAAAAAAAUAACUACUUAAUACAAUUUUAUAUAUAUUAGAAAAUGAUUUAAAACUUAUAAACAAACGAAAGGGAAUAUUUACCAAUUGUUAUGAUUUGAUUAUUUUUAAAAUGUUUAUAUUUGUAAAUAAGUACGGGAGAAUCACCUAUACAUAUAAAUAUACACACUUAUGUAUGUAUAGUACGUCUGCAAACAUUCUGUAAGAGCAAUGGCUUCGGUAAGAGUUGCAUAUGCAUCAUAUGUGUCAUCCACGACAACCACGAUCAUCGUGAUUUUACCCACUAUGAUUCUACCGUGUGAAUAUUGAGGCUCGAAAUAUGCUCCUAAAGACAUAAAAUGGCACUCCACAUCUCUAUCCCUAAUGUGAGGUAACUUAGAUGCAAGCAGUGCCGGUCCUGAUUAACACGGUGCCUAAAGCGAACUAAAAAAAUAAUGCCCUUAACUAAAUUAUAUUUUACUAUAAUCAUCUUUGAAAUUUUCAAAAGUUCUACAACUUUGAUCAUACGACAUAAAACAUUAACAAUCCUGCAACAAAAAGAAAAAAUAUAAAUUAUAGAAAAAGAAAAAUACAACAUACACCAUCAAUUUUAGUUUGUAUUUUUUUCUUUAAGUUUUAGAGUUUCACCUUAAGCUAAUUUCAUAUUUUGAGAAUUAAAAAUAAUUUAGGUAGAAAAUUAGUAACAAAGAAUGAGAAUAUAUAAUUUUUGUAGUAAAGAUUAACAAAAAAAAACAAUAAUAAUAAAUGUCAAUUGCUUUUUUUUUUGUAACACAAUAACUGUCAAUUGCUAAGAUGAAGAAAAUAAUUAGUUUUGUUUGAUUCUCUUGUUUAUUUUAAAUAAAUAAAUAAGUUUUUUUUUGUUAUAAUCAUUAUCAUUCCAAAAUUUAGUUAUUGUUUACUUUUGUAACUUAUAAGUUUGUCUUUAGUUUAUUUAACUUGUAACUUAUAAGUUUGUCUUUACUUUAUUUUAGUUAUUAUUAUUAGCAAAAAAAGAAACCAACUUAAUUAGUUUGUCUUUAGUUUGUUUAACUUAUAACUUAAUGCCACUAUAAUCCGUAGACAAAAGGAAAUUAAAGUUGCUAGAAAAGAUAUUAAAAUCUUUAAUGAUUAAAUAUUAUUAUUUGUUACCAUUAUCAAAAAGAAAAAUAAAAUAGAAAAGAAUAAUCAAGAAAGGAGGAUUCAAACCCGUCAACUUACUUGAAACAGAACACUGCACAAGUCACUACACUAAAAAAUCAUUUGAGAUUUAGCGCUCCUACAAAACAUAUAAUUUUGGCGCCUAAAGCUCUGGUUUUAUGGGCCGGCCCUGGAUGCAAGUUCUAAGUCCUUCCACCAUUUGUAAACUUACACAUAAAUGCAUUGGGAAAGUGAAAUCUUUCUAUCAACAAGAUUGAAGAUAAGUACGUCACCUGGUAAGAGUUUUGAGUUCUUCGAUGUAAAGAAACAGGCAAAAAUUGAAGUUAAGCUUUGCAAACUUGAGAAUGAUCUCAUUGUGACUUUCAUCUUGUUCAUAAUAAGAAAUAUAUUCCCUAGCCACUAGUACUUCUAUGUUACCGUAUCGAGGUAUAUAUAGUGCGUUUUGUAUAUGCUUGAAGAGAUGGGGACCAAUAGCACUGGAUUCGUUAUCGCCAUCUAAAGACUCCAAGUGGUUCCGCGUGAAACUCAGCGCUUCGUCCAUUCCUCUAACAUCUCUGGCUAGAGUCUCCUUGAACCUACUAUCUUCACCUCUGAAUCUAUCGAAGGCAUCUAAAAAUAAAAAUUAUGUCUGUUAUAAAUAUAAUUGUAUACAUAUAUUAGGUUAUGAAUACAUGUAUGUUAAUCCAGGAAAACUAUUACUCUUACCACAAGACAUGUUGUGACCGUACACUCUGAAGACCUCAAAUAUAGUGGAGAUUGUUUCCAAAUCAUCUUCCCCGCAAUUAUGUCAUCCAACUUUGGGAAACUGAGGUUAAGGAUCUCUGCGAUCUCCUUGUCAAAAUAAUAAGAGAUUCCUAUGGACAUGAAGGCAUGAAUAAGAUUGACAUGAGGUGGCUCAGUGAUACCACUCGAAUUACCCUAUGAGUGAUUUAUGCUCUCUCAAAUAAGAGGUCGAGUUGUAGUACUUAGGGAUCGAAUUCACAGGGAGCUAGAGAACCUAAAAAAUCUAAUGUGAUUUGUUAAGUUGGCUGUUUUAACGGUUUUAAAUGUAAAUAGCAGUUUAGAAAUCAAACAAAGUAUUUGCUUAAUUGUCUGGUUGAGGUUUUGGUGCUUAUUAAGAAAAUAGCUAGACUUAGAGUUUUUAUUCAGGAAAAUUUGGAUUAUAAUCAUACAGAUGCCUAAUGAGUUGCUUGCAUGAUAAUGUAAAGCUCAAUUACUUGAUCAACAAGUCCAUCAGCGUUCGCAAUGUUUGGACUCGUUUAUUAACUAGAUCUAUUGAUCUCAACUGCCGUAUUUUGAUCAAUAAAAAGUGUCGAUCGAUAAUCCUAUAGGGAUAUCGAUCGAUACACCUUUUGCCCCGCCGAUCGAUGAUUCAUGUGUAAUAUCGAUCGACGCGCUCUAGUCAAGCUUUAUGCGCAUGUUGAAUAAUAGCUUACUAAGCUCACUAGAUCAGCUCUCGCCUUGCUCGUAGCAAGAAACAUAGUUCUAUUAGAAUGUUUUCAGGAUGAGAUUAAAACUCUUACUUUUAUCAAUCAAAUCCAAGGGCAGGUUCUUUGUAGCUAAUCUAGACACAUGCAUUAAAUCACAAUCCUAAAGAUGAUUGAUAUUACGUGUAUACGCACACCAAUUAACAUAAUGUGCACACUACCACAAUCGAAUGGUAUGUCGAUGUAGCACUUUAGGAUCAAAUCCACAGAGACCAACGAUUACACUUUAUCUUUAUGGGAUCAAUACUUAGCUAAAACAAUGAUGGGGUUUUGAGAUUAAGGUUUCGUAACAAGCAAUUAAUAAGAUUAAUUAAAGAUUUCAGAUGAUUAAAAUGCUAGCCUAGGGUGGUUUGGUUGGGUGUUAAACAAGUGUGAGCCAAACAAUUAUUCAAGUUCGAUUAAAGACCAGUCUAGAACUCGGAUCACUUAAGAUAGAUCAGCCCACUGUCGUGGUGCUUCACCUUUUGUCAAUCAAUCUCAGUACCUAACCUGUCGUUUGGACUGAGAUGCGAUGACAAACAUUAAGAUCAAGUCCGAUCUGUUCACAAAACACCCUAACAUCUACUUUUGCUGGUUAGGGAUAUGAUGCUCAUUCAAGUUAUGUCUAGCAACCUAUAACACUUUUGAUGAAUAGAUUAAACCUAGAAUCAGGCACUAAGUGGUUAACUUGAUGCAAGUCUUAAGAACAACAGUGAAUGAAGACAAUCGAUUUAUAACUUAUUUAUGUCAAGCUCACGGAUCUAACACCCUAACACCCUAGACUAAGCAAGCUGACUACUCAGCCAUGAAGCAAGAAAACACAGAGACAGAGAUAUAAAGCAACAUGAAAUAUGACUGAAAUAAAGUAGUAGGGUUCAGGGGGUUCUUCUCUAAAUCGAGAGAGAUGGCCUUCUCCUUUUACAAAGUAGCAAAAUCUCAAGUCUCCAACUCUAAGGUCUGGUUUCUUCUCCAAAAAAUAGCGUAAAAUGAUAAGGAAAAACAGAAAAAGAAGAUAUAUCAAAGCCACAGGUGGCUGGGAGAGAAAA